UUUUUUGCAGGUAAGCCUUUUCUUAUAAUGAAGACAGAUACCAGGAUUCCUGUGAUUCCCCACUAGUAUGGCGACUUUGGGACUAUGGACCAACAUGCUGACCCUAGAUCCCUUUAAGUGACCAACCAUCCUCGGGAUACUGACUUCAGGUCAGGGAACCCUCAAUUUGAUGGGUGACUAUUAAUAGAAGCCAUAAAGAAAGAGGGUCUAGAGAGAGAACGAAGCUUUACCAGGAGGAAGAAGAGGAAGGAGAGGAGGACCACUACCCUCAGCACUUCUAUCUUACUCAGAUAUUGACUCUGAGAGUCAGGAAAGGAUGAUGAACAAGGAAUAUGGCCCAGGAAAACUGACUAUAAAGGAUCAAGUACUACCCUUCUGUGACUUGGUAAGAAAGAAGGAAUCUGCAUAAACAAAGAGCAGCGGAGCAGUAUAGCUGCACACAUACUUCAUUGGCUCGGAGGAUGACAGAAGAAAAAGUGCUUCACCUACAAAGGAGGCUGAGGAGGAGUCAUCAUUGUUGCAAACUUGUGAAAAAUGAAAAUUAUGAAGACUUUGGAUGGACUUGGAUCAAAGACCAGACAACAAUGAAAAAGAUGCCUUUUUAGAGGUUUGGGAGUCUUUAAGACCUGUUCGGCAGUGGUGUUUCCAAUUAUCAAUAAGAAAAGACUAAAAA